GAAGAACCUUCCAACUUACUCUGUGGUAAAACAGUAGCAAACACAAGCUUGACGGCUCCAAAUUUGGAACUUUCCAGAUGUCUUCUUCUAUAAGUAUGAUACUACUGUUAUCAGUUUCUUCAAGCAAAUUUCAUGGCGAUGGAACAUCGUUGUAUAAUUCCCUUUCUCCUUCUGAACAUAGAUUCGGUGGCUGACUGCUAGGAACCCUUCGCGUGCGGCAAAAGA